UAGUGUGGCGAGCAUUUUAGUGCGCGGAAUUUGUACCAGCGCUUACACUGUACGUGAAGCAUUGUCAUUGCAUUGCAUACGCUUCUCUUUUUUGCCCGUUAAUUUCAACAAUAGAGGAAGCUCAUCUCAACAAUGGGAUGAAACCGAAAAUUUCAGAUUUCCAGAGGCACCCUCCUUUCAAUGAGUAAUUUUUUCAAUGCGCUAAUUGUUCAAGCGGUCGAGCAGAGAAAUUCGGAAUUCAAAAUAAUACAGGAUGGAAGUAGCUUGGCUGAAUCGUACGAAAUGCUUAAGGGUCGAUCUUUAGACAACCUGCCGUUUUUUUCAAGAAGUCAAUCGUGCAUUUCGAAGAUAGUGUUUGAAUUGGAAUUCAGAAUACGUGCUGCGUAUUUUAACCUGCUACAUUCUGUAGUUCCUUACGCUAAACUCGGAAAAUGAGGUUCAGCAGUUGCGCACGCUACCAUAUUUGGUACCAAAAAGAAAUCGAACAUUGCUGGUUGGAUAAAAACAUGGACAGGCGGAGAUCUAACGGAGAAUGAGAAUUACUCUAAGUGGAUAACAAAGUCAUUGUCACCAAAAGCUCAUCAUAAAAAUAAAUGCAAAAUUUCUGCAAAGAUAGGAAUUCCGAACAAAGAGGCAAGAGGGAUAUGAUCCCUGAAUAGUUCGAUUAGGGAGGAGUAUGCAGUACAUGGCACAGUGGCAGAGUGAAAGAUAGGGUGGUUUUAGAUUAAAUGCAUGGAGUAAAAAUUGUCAAAACUAUUAUCAGGUAUAUGAUUCUGUACAAGGAAAUUGUUUAAUGGAUAGUUAUUUAAAGUCU